GCAAUGGACGAAAGUCUGACCGAGCAACGCCGCGUGAGUGAAGAAGGUUUUCGGAUCGUAAAGCUCUGUUGUAAGUCAAGAACGUGUGUGAGAGUGGAAAGUUCACACAGUGACGGUAGCUUACCAGAAAGGGACGGCUAACUACGUGCCAGCAGCCGCGGUAAUACGUAGGUCCCGAGCGUUGUCCGGAUUUAUUGGGCGUAAAGGGAGCGCAGGCGGUCAGGAAAGUCUGGAGUAAAAGGCUAUGGCUCAACCAUAGUGUGCUCUGGAAACUGUCUGACUUGAGUGCAGAAGGGGAGAGUGGAAUUCCAUGUGUAGCGGUAGAAAUGCGUAGAUAUAUGGAGGAACACCAGUGGCGAAAGCGGCUCUCUGGUCUGUCACUGACGCUGAGUGCUCGAAAGCGUGGGUAGCGAACAGGAUUAGAUACCCUGGUAGUCCACGCCGUAAACGAUGAGUGCUAGGUGUUAGGCCCUUUCCGGGGCU
rnacentral:rRNA from 1 species